rnacentral:rRNA from 1 species
GACGUAGGGCGCGAGCGUUGUCCGGAUUUAUUGGGCGUAAAGAGCUCGUAGGCGGCUUGUCGCGUCGUCCGUGAAAACCCACAGCUCAACUGUGGGCUUGCGGUCGAUACGGGCAGGCUAGAGUUCGGUAGGGGAGACUGGAAUUCCUGGUGUAGCGGUGAAAUGCGUAGAGAUCCGGAAGAACACCGGUGGCGAAGGCGGCCUGCUGGGCUAUGGCUGACACUGAGGCGCGACAGCGUGGGGAGCAAACAGG